ensembl:lncRNA
CAAAGGCUAGCUAGCAAACUAAAGACAUGACAGAUUUUCUCUGGCUGUCUUAGCCACUUGUCAGCAGUUGUUAGGUCCUGUUAUUACUAGUGCAAUGCUAGCGCCAUGCCUGCCCCGCCGUAAUGUUUGAUCCCCGCCGCCUGUAUCAUCCCCCCCGUCAUAAUGUCUGCACCCCGCCGUAAUGUUAUACGAUUGUAUAAGGGAGCACUACGUCACAGCCACGUAUGAAAACAUUUAAGAAAAUAUAUUAAAAGGGAAGAUCGGAACAACUGAUUCGAACGUGGGUCAAAAACACAUUCAGCGAGCUGCCUCAAACCGUGCGCCACAGAGCAUCACCAAGUGGUCUUGCCGUUUUGUAUAAUUUAUCUAUUAAGUUGAAGCAGAACGGGAUGGAUAGAGGAAAUCACCUGGUGUAGGGGACCCCCUGUAUUGGCUACCCCCUGGGUUGAAUGCACUCAUUGUAAGUCGCUUUGGAUAAAAGCAUUAGCUAAAUGAAAAAUGUUAAACUAAGUUAAAGAUGAGCAGCGGCAUCAUCUUGCCAAGGUUGUGUUGACACCACAAGAGUUUCAUUUCUGACCGUGACAUUGGAGCUCACUGUGACAAGACCAUGGACGCAAUGCUUCAACUAUACUACUGGCCUGGCAUGAAGGCCGAGAACGAGAAAUGGUUGGGUGUUACGACUUUAUUCUGGGGAGCCUGUGGUAAUAUUUAAACAUUCAAUCUCAGUGUUUUUCGAUUGAAAAUGUUUAGAUUCGCCAAUGUGAUGCCUGCCAAAAGAAGAGGACCUGGUUUUCAAUACAUUUGUGUGAUGGUGGACUAUUUCAUAAGUGGCUUGAGGUAUACCCGCUGAAAACCAAGAAAUAGCCGUGUGUGUAAUUGAUUGCUUCUAUAAAUAUGGCGCCCCAGAGCCUAUCCUCACCAACCGUGGAAAGGAAUUUUGAGGCAAGUAAUUGUACUGUAUUCAUGGUCACAUUAACAAUGGAAAAAUCCUCAUGGUAUUCCAAAUAAGUUGCCCUCUUGGGCAUUUUCAAGAUGAAUACAGAGUUGUGCCAGAAACUUUGACCAUUGACAGAAGCCUCUGUGCUCCAUACCACCCUCAAACCAAUGGCUUGGUUGAAAAACUCAAAUGGCACAAAUCAAGGAGUUUUGAAAAAAUGGUCUAGGAUCACCCAGGUGACUGGGACCAAUACAUUAAGUCCAGUGUUUGGCCUAAGAACUAAAAAACAGCAGACUACAAAGUACUCCCCAUAUAUCUUUAUGUAUGGGAGGGAAACUCUGUAUCCUUCCGAAAUACCAGUCGAGUGGCAGACAUCUGAGGACCAUAUUGGUGCUCACCAGGAAGCUUUCAGGAGGAUAUCGAGAAAAUCGACCAUCUCUCAGAAAAUAUGUGUAACCUGAAGAUCAAAUUCCAGGCAAAUGGAUGUCAGCGGCUUCUACUCCACCUCUGCAGUCCAGCCCGUUGUGUUUUGUUCCACAAUCUCCUCUUGCUGACAAGCAAACAACUCCCCAACCUGUCUCCUUGACCUCCACUCCCCAGAGGAACGCAAUCAUGGCUGACAUCUGGGCGGGUAAACGCCGAGGUGUGCUGUGGAGCAAAGUGGGGCCUUAUAAAAUAUUUGCCGCGGACAUGCAGAACUUGGCCCCCGGAAGGGAAAUAGAGAGCGGUACAGGCGAGCAUUCAUGAGAAAUAAAAAUAUCCAUGUUUCAAGAUGGAAUUGUUCAACCUGGAGUUGUUGAGCCACCCAAGACAGCAAGCCUCAACAUCCUGUGGGGCAAUUGUCUUCAAGAUCCAGUGCUCAACACGCACUCUGUGGUUCCACUGGAUUUGCCCCUGGGAAACUACCUCUGGAGCAGCUAACUUCUGCUGUCCAGCAUGUUUUCUUUAGAGAUACUUUUGUUUUUCAAUGAUUUAUGACUGUUAAAACAUUUAAUAAACUGUCCUUUGAGAACUUCAUGAGAUUUGAUUCCUAAUAGAAUGUACAAUCUGUCUCCCUCAAUUCCUUGACUUUUUGUUGGUGCAUCGCUUUUGUUCGGAAAGAUGUAUGGCCUCAUGGUGCUUUUAUAGGGACGCUGCUUAUUAACUUUAAUUGGGUGACAAUUAAGAAUGAAUAUAUUUUUUUGGGAUGUGGUCCAAGACACCUCCAAGGUAACGAGUUGUUUCAGGUACCCUAUACCAGGUUUCCUCCAUACCGAUGUGAUUGCAUUAAUAGAC